GUUCCCUGCUAUCAACCGCGGUCCAGAAGCAGAUGGAUGGUCCUCCUUCCGACGAAUCGGCAGAACGUCAAUAGAAGCCUAAGUUUACGUCAGAAUGCUGCGUCAUUACCUCGCUUAGUUUCGCCCAGGCAUUUUAUCAUCUCACAUCAUCGCAUGAAGGGGAAGGAGAGUGCUGAUGUGUCUUGUACUGUCAACUUAAAUAUCUCCAUACAGACGUGACAUAUAUCACUUCACUUCCAACCCAUUGGCUCUCCAGUGUGCCUAGAAGGAAAAGAGAAACAAACAGCUCCAGAAGGGCCGUUCUGGGGAGGACAUGAGGCACAAGGUAUAAGGCCACAGAGAGGAGCCACAAACUAUCAAGGAGAUGUGGAUGUAGAGACAAGAGGUGAAAAUGGUUAAUUGCAAAAAGUGUGCGAGAGUUACACCAGCAAGUGUUGUCAUACUCGGGAUGGCAGUGGAAUGUGCAGAAAUACGAAGACAUCAUAGGGAUUUCUGUUUCUAGCCUUGAUAAAGUAAUAAUGACUGGAUUUACCCUCUCAAGCAAUUUUAAAAUGGACAAAAUAUAUUCAACAACAGAUUUCGGACACUGGACAACAGGUGGGCAGGAGAAGGAUCUGGGAACAAAUG